AUCCAGAUGACGAGUCCCAAUUAGGACGAAAUGCGCAU
rnacentral:hammerhead_ribozyme from 1 species